GGGGGCUUGACCAAAAAAAAACACUAUAGACGUCGGAGAAAGAGAUAGAGUGCACAACAACAAGAAAACCUUCGAUGGAUCAGAAGCUGGAACCCAAGGAGUAGAUGGCAAUUGGAAAAGAUAAGAAUAGUAAGAAGGUAAACCUAUAUAUACUGUCUAUUGACAGCCCAAAUUGGAACCCCGAGCGAUCAGAUGUUAGCUAUAUGGCCCAA
rnacentral:lncRNA from 1 species